GGCCCAAUGGUCUAGUCGUAUGAUUCGCGCUUCGGGUCUCAUAGUAGAGUGCGCGAGGUCCCGGGUUCAAUUCCCGGUUGGGCCC